rnacentral:rRNA from 1 species
GAUGAACGCUGGCGGCGUGCCUAAUACAUGCAAGUCGAGCGAACAGACGAGGAGCUUGCUCCUUCGACGUUAGCGGCGGACGGGUGAGUAACACGUAGGUAACCUACAUAUAAGACUGGGAUAACUUCGGGAAACCGGAGCUAAUACCGGAUAAUAUUUCGAACCGCAUGGUUCGAUAGUGAAAGAUGGCUUUGCUAUCACUUAUAGAUGGACCUGCGCCGUAUUAGCUAGUUGGUAAGGUAACGGCUUACCAAGGCAACGAUACGUAGCCGACCUGAGAGGGUGAUCGGCCACACUGGAACUGAGACACGGUCCAGACUCCUACGGGAGGCAGCAGUAGGGAAUCUUCCGCAAUGGGCGAAAGCCUGACGGAGCAACGCCGCGUGAGUGAUGAAGGUCUUCGGAUCGUAAAACUCUGUUAUUAGGGAAGAACAAACGUGUAAGUAACUGUGCACGUCUUGACGGUACCUAAUCAGAAAGCCACGGCUAACUACGUG